CAGACACUAACCAUGCUGUAGUGUGUGUAAACAUCCUACACUCUCAGCUGUGAGCUAAAAGUGGCUGGGAGAGGGUUGUUUACUCCUUCUGCCAUGGAAAACUUC
rnacentral:miRNA from 1 species